AAUAUUCAGGAUAACUGGGAGGAGCCCCACCCCCAACUUCUAACGUCAGAGAUUCGUUUCAUUGCAUCUCUCUUUAGCGAGCUGCAACACUCGAGUUUCAUUUCUUCAUUGAACCCUGUGAAGUUUUUCUGUCCGUUGAGAUUAGGCAUUAAUAAUAGAUAAUUCAAUAUGGCACCGAAAGCACCUACUGAAGCUGGCAAUCUUAUGACAACUUAUUUCAUUCUCAUAGCUUUACUUGCAGCCUUAUGGGUGAUAUAUGUUGGUUUCAUCUGAGAAAGAGGUUGGCACCAAAUCGCAGAAAUUCCAGAUUUCAAGGUUAGCAGCAUGAAGAAGAAAUCUAUUUGUAAACCGUUGUAUUGUAUAUUUAUAUUUUUAUAGCUCAUAUGUUGUAAAUGUUUUUGGAAUAAUGUACAGUGUAUAUUAUUAAAUACUUCAAAAUUAA